AAUCUCUCAAAUAUAAACCGCUGAUUCAACCAAAGUCAAACGUAGACGGUCGAGAUCUCUUACCUGUCAUCCUCAAUCGUGCAUCCCACCAUCGUAUAUAUUUCUACUCCCUUCACCUUUUAUAGAUCUCGCCGGUUACCUUUUUCCGUAUACUCGCCGGUGAAAUCCCGUUCAAAUUUUCCGAUAAGUCUUCGUUGGAGCCGGUACACUGAAAAUACUCCGACAGUAUACCUAUGUAUGUAAUGCUUAUAUCUGUAUAUUUCGCCACUGCAUGCCGGAGUGCUAGGGUUAGGGUUCCAUUUAUGUGAACGUUUGAUGAACUGAAGUGCAUUGAAUUGAAAAUGUUAAGAGUUUUGUUUGGUUCCAGAGAAAUUGAUGCAAAAUUGUAUGAGCAUUUGUUACAAAUUAGAGUUUAAUAAAUUUUAGCUAAGUGAAUGACUGUAAUUUUUGGUGCUUUUAACGUUGUUGCUGUUGCAAUGAGUGGUUUGACUAUGUGAAAGGUGCUUAUUUGUCACUUUGAGAAGCUCGUGCAGAGAGGAGAGUGCAUAAAUUGGUUUUGCCAAUGAUAAAAUUCAUUAUGUUUGGUCCUAGGGUCUUAGUUCAGUUGCCAAAGGUUGAGGAACUCGUGACUUAGGUCACAUAUCUGAGCCCUGCGCCAUGCAAACUAAGCCUGGUAUUUAAGUGGAGAAGAGUGGAGGGGCGGCCCAUUAUCGUCGAGUUUAGAAGGUUGCGGUUGGUCCUAUGACUGAUUUCUCGGUCAUAAAAGUAAAUUUCAUUCAUUGUGAAUUUCUAUUUGUGUUGCAUGUUAUAUGAGAAUCAAUGCGCAAGGUAUUUUGCUAUUAGGAGGAACUAGGAGGAAUCAAAUUGCUAUGAAAUGAACCCACAGUGAAGUGGUCUCAUAGGUCAAUCGCGGUCUGCUUUGUUUUCCUCUCUAGUUUAUGAUGUUAGUUCGUCUAUUUUAUGGAACACUAAGAUUUUUAGUUAUUUAAAUUAUAGGACACAUUAUAAGAAGAAGGACCUGCAACAUGGUGCUUAUCGACUUGGAGAAGGCGUAUGACAAGGUCCUAAGGGAGUUGCUAUGGAGGUGCUUGGAGGCGAAGAGCGUGCCUGAAGCCUACAUCAGAGUAAUUAAGGACA
rnacentral:lncRNA from 1 species